rnacentral:rRNA from 1 species
UGCUGGAGGUAUCAGAAGUGCGAAUGCUGACAUGAGUAGCGAUAAAGGGGGUGAAAAGCCCCCUCGCCGUAAGUCCAAGGUUUCCUGCGCAACGUUCAUCGGCGCAGGGUGAGUCGGCCCCUAAGGCGAGGACGAAAGUCGUAGUCGAUGGGAAGCAGGUUAAUAUUCCUGCACCUCGCGUAAGUGCGAUGGAGGGACGGAGAAGGUUAGGUGUACCAGGCGUUGGUUGUCCUGGGGAAAGGCGGUAGGUUUGGAUCUUUGGCAAAUCCGGGAUCCUUUAAGACCGAGCACCGAGACGAGCCUUUAUGGCGAAGUCACUGAUACCACGCUUCCAGGAAAAGCUCCUAAGCUUCAGCUUACGCAGACCGUACCGUAAACCGACACAGGUGGGUAGGAUGAGAAUUCUCAGGCGCUUGAGAGAACUCGGGUGAAGGAACUAGGCAACAUGGCACCGUAACUUCGGGAGAAGGUGCACCC